rnacentral:hammerhead_ribozyme from 1 species
GCUGACGAGUCCCAAAUAGGAUGAGACGCGCGUCC